AACGAACGCUGGCGGCAUGCCUAACACAUGCAAGUCGAACGAAAACUUCGGGUCUUGUGGCGCACGGGUGCGUCACGCGUGGGAACCUGCCCUUAGGUUCGGAAUAACUACCCGAAAGGGGUGCUAAUACCGGAUAAUAUCUUCGGACCAAAGAUUUAUCGCAUUUGGAUGGGCCCGCGUUGGAUUAGCUAGUUGGUAGGGUAAAAGCCUACCAAGGCGACGAUCCAUAGCUGGUCUGAGAGGAUGAUUAGCCACACUGGGACUGAGACACGGCCCAGACUCCUACGGGAGGCAGCAGUGGGGAAUAUUGGACCAUGGGCGAAAGCCUGAUCCAGCAAGGCCGCGUGAGUGAUGAAGGCCUUAGGGUUGUAAAGCGCUUUUACCCGGGAUGAUAAUGACAGUACCGGGAGAAUAAGCUCCGGCUAACUCCGUG
rnacentral:rRNA from 1 species